rnacentral:tRNA from 1 species
GGGCCAUAUUAUGGUUGGGCUUUGAAAGCCCAAUUAGGUAUGUUCUACCGUGGCCUU